CUUCUGACGCCUCACCUGCGCCUUACCGCUGUCUAGUAACGUCAGCAGCUCACCGAAGGAUCCCAACUCACCACCUGGAUGUGCUUUUUUGGAAGAAGAAAAAGGAGGUCAGAGAGACACUAAAGCAAGAGUCUUAAAAGGAGAAACCACCUCAAUCAGCUGCAGAACAAUGAACGUUCAGGAAUUGGUGGCGAUUGCAGGGAGCGGCAAUCCCACGGCUGACAGGCAAACGUUCACGGUGCACUCGGAGAAAAACUUAUCCCCUUUUGUAAAAGGCUUAAGUUUAAGAAGAAGCUCAGCUGAAGUUGCCUCCUGUGCCCAUAUUCAACCACAAGUGGAUCGUAAAUCACGCCGACUGUUUGGCAGAAGCCAUGGAUCAUUGUACAAUGGUUAAUUAAAGCCAAAUCAAUUUCAGUGCCAGUGGUCUUUUUUACA